rnacentral:tRNA from 1 species
GCAGAGGUCGCUUAGUAUGGCAUGGCGCUGGCCUUGAGAGCCUGUGUGUUGUUACACUCGAGGGUUCAAAUCCCUCUCUCUGCG